rnacentral:rRNA from 1 species
UACGAACUGUGCGAACGUUAUUCGGAAUCACUGGGCUUAAAGGGUGCGUAGGCGGCGAUUCAAGUCAGGUGUGAAAUCCCCCGGCUCAACCGGGGAACUGCGCUUGAAACUGGAUUGCUCGAGUGAGGCAGGGGUGUAUGGAACUUCCGGUGGAGCGGUGAAAUGUGUAGAUAUCGGAAGGAACGCCGGCGGCGAAAGCGGUACACUGGGCCUUGUCUGACGCUGAGGCACGAAAGCUAGGGGAGUGAAC